rnacentral:rRNA from 1 species
UGGGGAAUCUUGCACAAUGGGCGAAAGCCUGAUGCAGCAACGCCGCGUGCGGGAAGACAGCCCUAGGGUUGUAAACCGCUUUCAGCAGGGAAGAAACUGACGGUACCUGCAGAAGAAGAUGCGGCCAACUACGUGCCAGCAGCCGCGGUGACACGUAGGCAUCAAGCGUUAUCCGGAUUUAUUGGGCGUAAAGAGCUCGUAGGCGGUUCGGUAAGUCGGGUGUGAAAACUCUGGGCUCAACCCAGAGAGGCCACUCGAUACUGCUGUGACUAGAGUGCGGUAGGGGAGCGGGGAAUUCCUGGUGUAGCGGUGAAAUGCGCAGAUAUCAGGAGGAACACCAGUGGCGAAGCGCCGCUCUGGGCCGGUAACUAGACGCUGAGGAGCGAAAGCAUGGGUAAGCAAAGCAGGAUUAGAAU